UACGGAGGAUGCAAGCGUUAUCCGGAAUGAUUGGGCGGAAAGCGUCCGCAGGUGGCUAUGUAAGUCUGCUGUUAAAGAGUCUAGCUCAACUAGAUAAGAGCAGUGGAAACUACAAGGCUAGAGUACGUUCGGGGCAGAGGGAAUUCCUGGUGUAGCGGUGAAAUGCGUAGAGAUCAGGAAGAACACCAGUGGCGAAGGCGCUCUGCUAGGCCGUAACUGACACUGAGGGACGAAAGCUAGGGGAGCGAAUGGG
rnacentral:rRNA from 1 species